GGGUAGGUGGCCGAGUGGUUAAAGGCGAUGGACUGUAAAUCCAUUCUGGGAAACCGGUACGCAGGUUCGAAUCCUGCCCUGCCCA
rnacentral:tRNA from 1 species